rnacentral:lncRNA from 1 species
CAAAGUUUUUAUUUUUUGUCAUUUUUCUUUUUACUCUUUUAAACAAGUUUUGUUAUGGAUUAAUGAAGUUAUAUAAGUUGUUAAUAAAUCAGUAAAUCCAGUAUGAUAUAUAAUAAACAAGUUCAUUAUAUUAUAUUCAUUAAGUAAUUACUAUUAUUACACUAUUUACAAAAAUUCAAUAAUAAUAAUAAUUUGGAGUUUUGUUUUUGUUUUAAGACAUCUGGCUGGAGGAGACCUUUCCACAUUAGGGAUGAAAGAACUGAAGUAACUCGACAGCUGAGGAUGGGGGUCGAUCGUGUACGCUCUAGAAAGUAAUUGUGGUGGUGGUGCCCUUUGAUUGGUUGAACUGGUGGUUGCCUAUGAUUUCUCCACACGGUGCAUAAGGAGCUCAGCUACAUGUGGUUUUAUAUGGCUUAACGUACAAGCGUCUAGGAAGCUACAAGUGCAACAAGUGCUUAACGCUGCAUGAUAAUGAGGGGAAUUACUUAUACACAUACAUGGGAAACGACCUCGGGCUAAUUUGCCAAAGAUAGCUGCUCAUGGGGCGAAAUAUGCACUGGCACAGUCGUUGCCGCAUAAGCGUAGCAUCAGUCUAACUCAGAUCAUGAGUAUCUCAUGGCACUUAUAGCACUUAUAGGGUCUGGAUUCUGGAAUAGAUGUCAUGGUUGGGGUCUCUAAUGAUCGGUUCGCUACUGUUAGUUCGUCUACUGCUGCUUCUGAUUUGUGGGUUGCUUAGAAUGUCACAAGAUAGAUGGUUAAAAGUGGAGCUGAUAUUAAGUAUGCCUGAUCUAUGAUACCCUUUUCGUAGUUUUGUUUGUGUGGGUUGUUUGUUAUGAUGGAGUAUGCUGGUUUGUUUUCAUCUGGAAGUUUAGAUGAUGGACUGGUUGCUUUUUUUGGCGGACUGUAAAUCGAGUGGUUUUGAAAUGAUAUUAUUAAGUGAUGCCUUUGUAAACAUUUAGUAAAGAUGUUUGUUUGAGAUUAAUUUAUAAAGUUAUAUCUUCCGAUUACACUACAUCUAUGUAACUCAAAUAAAGUGGCAUCAUCUUAGUAAACUUAGGGGGCGUUUGGUUCACGGAAUGAUUUGGAAUUGGAAUUGGAACUUUUAUAGGAAUUAGAAUUUGAAGGAAUUGGAUUUGGAAUUUAAACAUUCCAAUUGUAAUUGGAAAUUGUUGGAAUUGGAAUCUCAAUUCCAUUUUU